rnacentral:rRNA from 1 species
ACGUAAGGGGCAAGCGUUGUUCGGAAUUAUUGGGCGUAAAGGGUACGUAGGCGGUUUGGUAAGCCCGGCGUGAAAUCCUGCAGCUUAACUGUAGAGCUGCGCUGGGAACUGCGAAACUUGAGUCAUGGAAGGGGAGUUAGAAUUCCAGGUGUAGGGGUGAAAUCUGUAGAUAUCUGGAAGAAUACCGGUGGCGAAGGCGAACUCCUGGCCAAUGACUGACGCUGAGGUACGAAAGUGCGGGGAGCAAACAG